GACGAACGCUGGCGGCGUGCUUAACACAUGCAAGUCGAACGGUAAGGCCCUUUCGGGGGUACACGAGUGGCGCACGGGCGAGUAACACGUGGGUGAUCUGCCCUGCCCAUUGGUCUAAGCCAGGGAAAGUGGGUCUAAUUCCGCAUAGGACUCCGCGACGCAUGCAGUGUGGUGGUCAGCUUUUUCGGUGUGGGAUGGGCCAGCGGCCUACGAGCUUGUUUGUUGGUUGGUGGCCUACAAAGCCGCCGACGGGUAGCCGACCUGAGAAAGUGUCCAGCCACACUAGGACUAAGAGACGGCCCAGACUCCGACGGGAGGCAUCAGUGGAGAAUAUUGCGCAAGGGGGUCAAGCCUGAAGCAGCAACGCCGCGAGGGGAAUGACGACCUUCGGGUUGAAAACCCCUUAGAGCACAGACGAAGCGUGAGUGACGGUAAUGGCUGAAGAAGCACCGGCCAACUUCGUG
rnacentral:rRNA from 1 species